GGAAUUGUGCCCGAAAAUUAAGGGUUACUUUGAUAGAGUACAUUACAGGGGUUAAAAUCCCCUCAUUUCCU
rnacentral:tRNA from 1 species